rnacentral:rRNA from 1 species
GAUGAACGCUGGCGGCGUGCCUAAUACAUGCAAGUCGAGCGAACAGACGAGGAGCUUGCUCCUUUGACGUUAGCGGCGGACGGGUGAGUAACACGUGGAUAACCUACCUAUAAGACUGGGAUAACUUCGGGAAACCGGAGCUAAUACCGGAUAAUAUGUUGAACCGCAUGGUUCAACAGUGAAAGACGGUUUUGCUGUCACUUAUAGAUGGAUCCGCGCCGCAUUAGCUAGUUGGUAAGGUAACGGCUUACCAAGGCAACGAUGCGUAGCCGACCUGAGAGGGUGAGCGGCCACACUGGAACUGAGACACGGUCCAGACUCCUACGGGAGGCAGCAGUAGGGAAUCUUCCGCAAAGGGCGAAAGCCUGACGGAGCAACGCCGCGUGAGUGAAGAAGGUCUUCGGAUCGUAAAACUCUGUUAUUAGGGAAGAACAAAUGUGUAAGUAACUAUGCACGUCUUGACGGUACCUAAUCAGAAAGCCACGGCUAACUACGUG